rnacentral:rRNA from 1 species
UACGGGGGGGGCAAGCGUUGUUCGGAAUUAUUGGGCGUAAAGGGCGCGUAGGCGGUGCGGCAAGUCUCCUGUGAAAUCUCCGGGCUCAACUCGGAGUCUGCAGGAGAAACUGCCGUGCUUGAGUGUGGGAGAGGUGAGUGGAAUUCCCGGUGUAGCGGUGAAAUGCGUAGAGAUGUGGAGGAACACCAGUGGCGAAGGCGACUCUUUGGCCUGUAACUGACGCUGAGGCGCGAAAGCGUGGGGAGCAAACAGG